rnacentral:rRNA from 1 species
AUUGAACGAUGGCGGCAGGCCUAACACAUGCAAGUCGAGCGAGCGGCGGACGGGUGAGGAAUGUAUGGGAAACUGCCUGAUGGAGGGGGAUAACGACUGGAAACGGUAGCUAAUACCGCAUACCAUCAGAUGUGACAAGAUGGGAUUAGCUAGUAGGUGGGGUAACGGCGCACCUAGGCGACGAUCCCUAGCUGGUCUGAGAGGAUGACCAGCCACACUGGAACUGAGCCACGGUCCAGACUCCUACGGUAGGCAGCAGUGGGGCAUAUUGCACAAUGGGGGCAAGCCUGAUGCAGCCAUGCCGCGUGUGUGAAGAAGGCCUUCGGUUUGUAAAGCACUUUCAGCGGGUAGGCGUUACCCGCAGAAGAAGCACCGGCUAACUCCGUGCCAGCGGCCGCGGUAAUUC